UACGAAGGGGGCUAGCGUUGCUCGGAAUCACUGGGCGUAAAGCGCACGUAGGCGGCUUUUUAAGUCAGAGGUGAAAUCCUGGAGCUCAACUCCAGAACUGCCUUUGAUACUGAAAGUCUUGAGUACGGGAGAGGUGAGUGGAACUGCGAGUGUAGAGGUGAAAUUCGUAGAUAUUCGCAAGAACACCAGUGGCGAAGGCGGCUCACUGGCCCGUAACUGACGCUGAGGCACGAAAGCGUGGGGAGCAAACAGG
rnacentral:rRNA from 1 species